UACAGAGGUCUCAAGCGUUGUUCGGAUUCAUUGGGCGUAAAGGGUGCGUAGGUGGCGCGGUAAGUCGGGGUGUGAAAAUCUCGGAGCUUAACUCCGAAAUUGCAUUCGAUACUGCCGUGCUCGAGGACUGGAGAGGAGACUGGAAUUCAUGGUGUAGCAGUGAAAUGCGUAGAGAUCAUGAGGAAGACCAGUGGCGAAGGCGGGUCUCUGGACAGUUCCUGACACUGAGGCACGAAGGCCAGGGGGAGCAAAACGGGG
rnacentral:rRNA from 1 species